rnacentral:tRNA from 1 species
AAUGAAAUGCCUGAAUAAAGGGUUAUUUUGAUAGAAUAAAUUAUGUAAAGCUUUUUACUUUCAUUA